GGUAAAAGGAUUUAUUCGCUCAAGGAUGGACUCGCGUCCAAUUAGCUAGUUGGUGAGGUAACGGCCCACCAAGGCGACGAUUGGUAGCCGGACUGAGAGGUUGAUCGGCCACAUUGGGACUGAGACACGGCCCAGACUCCUACGGGAGGCAGCAGUGGGGGAUAUUGCACAAUGGGGGAAACCCUGAUGCAGCGACGCCGCGUGAAGGAAGAAGGCCUUCGGGUUGUAAACUUCUGUCGUACGGGACGAUAAUGACGGUACCGUACAAGAAAGCCACGGCUAACUAC
rnacentral:rRNA from 1 species